GUAGAAAUCACUUGAUCAGACCGCAACACAGAUUAGAUGGCUCAGUUUACUGCUUUAACAUGCAGGUAUUCCUAUCACCAAGCCAAAGACUAUAAACCUCAUUGAAUGAGUGCAAGCAAAACUUUCAAAACAAUGAGCAUGUCUGCAGGUUUGAUUAUUCGGUGGGAAUAGACACAAGCUAAAAUACACCCUAAAUGAUCCUAAACUGCACACCCCUUUUCCAAUUAAACCUGUGCCUUAUGCAUCCAACAUUCCACAUUGUAGGCAAAUAAAUCCAUCUCAUACUGUGGGCAUACCUAAACUCUAUCCUGAAAAAUGAGAAAUAAUUACAUUUAAGUACAUGUUAUUGCCUUACUUCAUGAGAACCUAUGAUUAUUAUAAGCCAAUGAAGGACAAAAACUAAUACUGUAUACAAUAAAAGGAGAAUUACAUAAGGCCUGGAUAGUGCAAUGAGUAUUUGAGAUGAGUGUUUAACAUGGAGCACAUUACUGCUGAGCAACAGCUCAACAUUUUCUUUACAAGAUCAAGAGGAUGCCCAAUAAACAAAUGAUAUUUGAAAAUGAUACGUAAACCUGACAGUGCAAGGUGCACCUAGAGAUGCUGCUGCUGCUAAAUCUCCAAAUGCCAAAGUUCAGUCUAGGCAAUCUUCAUCAAAGCAGAGUGAUUCAAACAGAAAAUCUAUGUUCUUUCUUUUCUCCAACUCACAGGCCUGAGAUCAGACCUUCAUCUUUGCAUCUAUCUCAAAUGAGAAGCAGAGGUAGACUCCAAACUGACCCAAAGUCAGCUAGUCGUGACAAACUUUCCUUUGGCCCCCUCUCUGCUGUCCUCAGAAAGGAUCCUUUGUGCCAGGCUCUCACGGGUGCCUCAGCAACGUGGUUUUAGCUUUCACUGACACAAUCUUGAGCCAAUAGGACCCUCACCUAACCAUGGACAGGAAGAAAUAGAAAAAGCUGAGAGAAACGGCUCAGCUCAGCCGAAAAGAAAAUGCUCCGCUGUGACUGAGAUAGCACAGGCUGGUCAACAGUGGGUGACAGUAACUUUUUCCUGAGAUGUUUGAGUGGAUUUGGAAGAGGUGAACAUCAGCUCCUUCCUGGAUGGCUUUGGAUAAGGUGGUCAUGGCUGGGAUUGGAACAGCUGGGACCUCCCCUGUGAGCUCUGGCAUAUCAUGUCCAAUAUAUUCCACCAGGUGGCGUGCUACAGCGCUAAUAUAAGCCAGCCACACAGAAAGGCAGAGGGGCUCCAACAGGAAGAAUGAUGGAUGACACCUCUAAGCUGCAGAAUAGAGGUCAAAGUUAGAGGGGAGGGGAUAACAACUUUCUGAGAGCAAUUGAAGAUCAACAUAUGCCAGCCUCUUUUUGCCUGACUUCAAAUGAACCAUCUCCCACCAAAGGAAUUGGAAGUAUUUAUAGAAAUGCCACCAUGAAAACUAACAUUUUCUUCUUCUUCCACAGGUAUUUCCCAAAACGUAUCUGUGAUCAGUAUCUUAAUGCCUGUUGUUUCUUCUAAAAUCAGUGAGUUUCAACAUUAAUGGAAGUGGAACAUUUAGCAUUUAUUUUUUUUUGUAGCUAAUCAUGUUUCAAGGAUACAUAAUAUUGGAAGUACCUCUCCCGACAAGCUUUUAUGGAUAGAAAUGUGCUUAGCAAUAAUGAUGUACAAUUGCCUGCUUUAAAUCGGUUGCCAAAGCCUGUAAGUUUUUGUCAAGGAGGAUCUCAGCGCCUGGCUUCACUGGCUGCUACAGUUGGUGUGACAAUAAGGAAGUAAAGCGACUCCUCCAGACCUCCUCCAGGCCCAAAUGAUCUCAGAUGGGAAGGAAGAAAACAGCCGGAGGGGGAUGCUUUUACUGGAUUACAGGAAGACACCCCAUCCAUCCAUUCAUGCAGUGAGAGGGAGAACGUGCAUGCAAACUCAACACUGAUGUUGGUCACAUUUAAAACUCAAGCACCUUAGGCAGCCCUCAAACAAUGUAUCUGCAGUUUAAAGUGAAACCCAACCACUGAUCUGUAGCUGGACAAACAGACCCCACCUAUUCCUUUAAACCUAUUCCCAGUUAUGGUUUAACAGGUGUUGAGUUUUAUGUUGCAAUGUGAUUUUAGCGAAUUUGAAGCCAAUAAUAAAUGUAUUUUUCUUCUUUAUGCAAGUAAAAGUGUUUGUGUCUGUGUGUUUCCUUUUUGUCUCAUUAAAUUAUA